AAUCUACCCAGUAAUCCGGGAUAACAUCUCGAAAGAGAUGCUAAUACCUGAUAAGCCCACGAUCUCUUCGGAGAACGAGGGAAAAGGUGGGGACCUUCGGGCCUGCCGUUGCUGGAUGAGUCCGCGGCCCAUUAGCUAGUUGGUAGAGUAAUGGCCUACCAAGGCUACGAUGGGUAGCUGGUCUGAGAGGAUGAUCAGCCACACUGGAACUGAGACACGGUCCAG
rnacentral:rRNA from 1 species